rnacentral:rRNA from 1 species
UUGAGCUAAUACCGGAUACGCCCUUUGGGGGAAAGAUUUAUUGCCGAAAGAUCGGCCCGCGUCCGAUUAGCUAGUUGGUGUGGUAAUGGCGCACCAAGGCGACGAUCGGUAGCUGGUCUGAGAGGAUGAUCAGCCACACUGGGACUGAGACACGGCCCAGACUCCUACGGGAGGCAGCAGUGGGGAAUAUUGGACAAUGGGCGCAAGCCUGAUCCAGCCAUGCCGCGUGAGUGAUGAAGGCCCUAGGGUUGUAAAGCUCUUUCGCCAGGGACGAUAAUGACGGUACCUGGAUAAGAAGCCCCGGCUAACUUC